AAUGAACGUUGGCGGCAUGGAUUAGGCAUGCAAGUCGAGCGAGAAGGAAAUCAAAGUUUACUUUGGUUUCCGGAAAGCGGCGAAAGGGAGAGUAACGCGUAGUUAUCUACCCCAAGGCCCGGAAUAGCUGCGGGAAACUGCAGGUAAUGCCGGAUAAUAUCCCCGGCUCAAGGGUGUGAUUCCGCCUUGGGAGGAGACUGCGUUGUACUAGCUUGUGGGUAGGGUAAUGGCCUACCAAGGCUACGAUGCAUAGCGGGCGUGAGAGCGUGGCCCGUCUCACUGGGACUGAAACACUGCCCAGACACCUACGGGUGGCUGCAGUCGAGAAUCUUCGGCAAUGGGCGAAAGCCUGACCGAGCGAUGCCGCGUGCGGGAUGAAGGCCCUCGGGUUGUAAACCGCUGUCGUAGGGGAGAAAGGACCGUUGAAGAGACGGUUUUGAUCUAUCCUAGGAGGGAGUCCGGGCUAAGUUCGUGC
rnacentral:rRNA from 1 species